rnacentral:piRNA from 1 species
UGAACAGAAAGUAUUCGGUAAAUUUAAAGU